rnacentral:lncRNA from 1 species
AAAUUGGAUUUGAUUUGAUCAAGCCUAAUUGCAAGAAAAAUUUAUUUCUGAUUUGAUCAAGACAUGGGUUCAGUUAAUUCUUAAUUAGAUUAAAAAUUUAUUGAGAUGAUUGGAUUUCUAAUUAGAUUAAGUUUCUUCCUCUCAUUGGGUUCAAACCAGAUUUAAUUUGAUUUGGAAUCAAAUUGGAAACGAAGAGUCCCAACCAAUUGGGACUCUCUCCAUUGUGCAUGCCCUGGACCCACGCCAUUCUUCUCAAUGCUAAAAAGAUUUUUGCAUGAGAUUUUUGGGCAUGAGAAAAGAGGGUGUAGAUAGGGUGGGCGGCAAUCAUAAUGAGUCAUGAUCCUUAUCUCUUUCCUAAUUUGAAUAUGAUCCAAAUUAAAGAUAAAGAGAUAAGAUAGAAAGAGAUCCAUUUAAAGUAGAAAGAUGGG